GACGAACGCUGGCGGCGUGCUUAACACAUGCAAGUCGAACGGAAAGGCCCUGCUUUUGCGGGGUGCUCGAGUGGCGAACGGGUGAGUAACACGCGAGUAACCUGCCCUUGACUUUGGGAUAACUUCAGGAAACUGGGGCUAAUACCGGAUAGGAGCUCCUGCUGCAUGGGGGGGGUUGGAAAGUUUCGGCUGUUGGGGAUGGACUCGCGGCUUAUCAGCUUGUUGGUGUGGUAGUGGCUUACCAAGGCUUUGACGGGUAGCCGGCCUGAGAGCGUUACCGGCCACAUUGGGACUGCGAUACGGCCCAGAAUCCUACGGGAGGCAGAAGUGGGGAAUAUUGCACAGUGGGCGGGAGCCUGAUGCAGCAACGCCGCGUGCGGGAUGACGGCCUUCGGGUUGUAAACCGCUUUCGCCUGUGACGAAGCGUGCGUGACGGUAAUGGGUAAAGAAGCACCGGCUAACUACGUG
rnacentral:rRNA from 1 species